AAACAUAAAAUGUUAAGACACAAUUUGUAACUGUUUUUAAUAUUUGUGUCUUUUAUUCCGUCUUUCCGUGAUGAAUAGUUAUCUGCUCUUGAAAGCAUAAAUCGUUUGUUAUGUUUUGUGUCAUAACUAAAUGAAUCGUUUAAAUUCAGUAUUAAGAAUACACUGUAUCUUUAUCUUGCCGUUUAUUGAACAUUAAAUGAGGUCUUGACGAGAUUACAAAAAGUGUAUCUGUUAUGAAAGACAUGUUGUUUUAGGUUAGUGCUGUUUUAAAAACUAGUCCUUAUAUUUCCUACAUUUAUACACGGUUAGACCUUUAAUAGUUCCCCACUAUUACUCUCUGUUUCAUAUAUAUAUUCUGUAAAAAAGUGUGUAAUUUGUCACAUUUAUACACUGAUUGAUUUAUACACUGUAAAACAUAGUAUAAUUUGCCAUAUUUAUACACUGUAAAACAUAGUAUAAUUUGCCAUAUUUAUACACUGUAAAACAUAGUAUAAUUUGCCCUAUUUAUAUACUGUAAAAGCUGUGUAAUAUGUCCCUCAUUGUAGAACAAUGUUUCAUUUAUACAGUGUUAAACAUUUUCCCUCAUGUAUACAUUGUAAAAGUUCUGUAUAAUUUCCCUCGUUUACACAAAGCAUGUGUAUUAUCACAUCAAACAAUUUAGUGACGUAAUGAAAGUGCCUACAGAGCUAUUAUUCACUUCGUCAAAAUAAACCAUCGAUGUAUCAAAUAUCCCAGAUAUGUUAUAUCAAGAACAGAAGUAUACGUCCCUGUCUGUAUAUAUGCAGUAAAGCAUCAAGCAUAUGCCCCUUUUCUACAUUUCUACUGUUACGUAACAGCAGAUGAAAUACUAUAUUCAUAGUAUCCUCAGUUACACAAGUAUGCCAAACUCUAUAUAACCUUCUCCAUUGGUUGAAACACUUCAUUUUAAUAAAACACUCCAAAUACAAACCAAUACAUCACGCAGUGAUACCGCACUGUCGUCAUACAAAGUAAUACAUACCGCACUGUCGUCAUAUAAAUCAAUACAUACCGCACUGUCGUCAUACAAUUCAAUACAUACCGCACUGUCGUCAUACAAACCAAUACAUACCACACUGUCGUCAUAUAAAUCAAUGCAUACCGCACUGUCGUCAUAUAAACCAAUACAUACCACAGUGUCGUCAUAUAAACCAAUACAUACCACACUGUCGUCAUAUAAACCAAUACAUACCGCACUGUCGUCAUAUAAACCAAUACAUACCGCACUGUCGUCAUACAAACCAAUACAUACCGCACUGUCAUCAUACAAACUAAUACAUACCGCAGUGUCGUCAUACAAACUGAUACAUACCAAACGUUCGUCAUAUAAACCAAUACAUACCGCACUGUCGUCAUACAAACCAAUACAUACCGCACUGUCGUCAUACAAACUGAUACAUACCACAAUGUCAUCAUAUAAACUGAUACAUACCGCACUGUCGUCAUACAAACCAACACAUACCGCACUGUCGUCAUAUAAACCAAUACAUACCGCACUGUCGUCAUAUAAACCAAUACAUACCGCACUGUCGUCAUAUAAACCAAUACAUACCGCACUGUCGUCAUAUAAACCAAUACAUACCGCACUGUCGUCAUACAAACUGAUACAUACCACACUGUCGUCAUACAAACCAACACAUACCACACUGUCGUCAUACAAAGUAAUACAUACCGCACUGUCGUCAUAUAAACCAAUACAUACCGCACUGUCGUCAUACAAACCAAUACAUACCGCACUGUCGUCAUACAAACUGAUACAUACCGCACUGUCGUCAUACAAAGUAAUACAUACCGCACUGUCGUCAUACAAACCAAUACAUACCACACUGUCGUCAUACAAAGUAAUACAUACCACACUGUCGUCAUAUAAAUCAACACAUACCGCACUGUCGUCAUACAAAGUAAUACAUACCACACUGUCGUCAUAUAAACCAAUACAUACCGCACUGUCGUCAUACAAACCAAUACAUACCGCACUGUCGUCAUAUAAACCAAUACAUACCACACUGUCGUCAUAUAAACCAAUUCAUACUACACUGUCGUCAUACAAACCAAUACAUACCGCACUGUCGUCAUAUAAACCAAUACAUACCGCACUGUCGUCAUAUAAACCAAUACAUACCGCACUGUCAUCAUACAAACCAAUACAUACCGCACUGUCGUCAUACAAACCAAUACAUACCGCACUGUCGUCAUACAAACUGAUACAUACCGCACUGUCAUCAUACAAACCAAUACAUACCGCACUGUCGUCAUACAAACCGAUACAUACCACACUGUCAUCAUACAAACCAACACAUACCGCUGUCGUCAUACAAACCAACACAUACCGCACUGUCGUCAUACAAACCAAUACAUACCGCACUGUCGUCAUACAAACCAAUACAUACCGCACUGUCGUCAUACAAACUGAUACAUACCGCACUGUCAUCAUACAAACCAAUACAUACCGCACUGUCGUCAUACAAACCAAUACAUACCACACUGUCAUCAUACAAACCAACACAUACCGCUGUCGUCAUACAAACCAACACAUACCGCACUGUCGUCAUACAAACCAAUACAUACCACACUGUCAUCAUACAAACCAAUACAUACCACACUGUCAUCAUACAAACCAACACAUACCGCUGUCGUCAUACAAACCAAUACAUACCACACUGUCAUCAUACAAACCAAUACAUACCGCACUGUCGUCAUAUAAACCAAUACAUACCACAGUGUCGUCAUAUAAACCAAUACAUACCACACUGUCGUCAUAUAAACUGAUACAUACCACACUGUUGUCAUACAAACUGAAACAUACCACACUGUCAUCAUACAAACCAAUACAUACCACACUGUCAUCUUACAAACCAAUACAUACCACGUGCACACUGUCAUCAUACAAACCAAUACAUACCACACUGUCGUCAUAUAAAUCAAUGUAUACCGCACUUUCGUCAGACAAACCAAUAUUACCGCACUGUCAUCAUACAAGCUGUACAUGAUUCAUUAAAUAAUAUUUGUUUUGAUGAAAAAUCUGAAUAGGAUUGGCGAUGCGAUGGAAUUAGCAGAUGAUAUCAGAGUAAUGGGAGAUGAUGAGAAACCCAAAAUGAUACACGAAGCUGUAGAUGACAUGGGCGCCUAUAUCAAACUCAACGAUGAUGUGC